GAUGAACGCUGGCGGCGUGCCUAAUACAUGCAAGUCGAGCGAAGCGAGGACGGGUGAGUAACACGUGGAUAACCUCCUAUACGACUGGGUUAACUUCGGGAAACCGGAGCUAAACCGGAUACUUAUCUAUGGAUCCGCGCUGCAUUAGCUAGUUGGUAAGGUAACGGCUUACCAAGGCAACGAUGCAUAGCCGACCUGAGAGGGGGAUCGGCCAAACUGGAGCUGAGACACGGUGCAGACUCCUACGAGAGGCAGCAGUAGGGAAUCUGCCGCAAUGGGCGAAAGCCUGACGGAGCAACGCCGCGUGAGUGAUGAAGGUCUUCGGAUCGUAAAACUCUGUUAUUAGGGAAGCGGUACCUAAUCAGAAAGCCACGGCUAACUACGUGCCAGCCGCCGCGGUAAUUC
rnacentral:rRNA from 1 species